GAUGAGCGCUGGCGGCGUGCCUAAUACAUGCAAGUCGAGCGAACGGACGAGAAGCUUGCUUCUCUGAUGUUAGCGGCGGACGGGUGAGUAACACGUGGAUAACCUACCUAUAAGACUGGGAUAACUUCGGGAAACCGGCGCUAAUACCGGAUAAUAUUUUGAACCGCAUGGUUCAAAAGUGAAAGACGGUCUUGCUGUCACUUAUAGAUGGAUCCGCGCUGCAUUAGCUAGUUGGUAAGGUAACGGCUUACCAAGGCAACGAUGCAUAGCCGACCUGAGAGGGUGAUCGGCCACACUGGAACUGAGACACGGUCCAGACUCCUACGGGAGGCAGCAGUAGGGAAUCUUCCGCAAUGGGCGAAAGCCUGACGGAGCAACGCCGCGUGAGUGAUGAAGGUCUUCGGAUCGUAAAACUCUGUUAUUAGGGAAGAACAUAUGUGUAAGUAACUGUGCACAUCUUGACGGUACCUAAUCAGAAAGCCACGGCUAACUACGUG
rnacentral:rRNA from 1 species